AACCAAAUCUUAUUGCAUGAGAGGCAUAGAUUUACACAAAAACCUCUGGCCAGCACAUCUAAUGCCAAACAUACAAUACAUAUCUUCAAAAAAUCAGGCAGCAUAUGCAGCUCCACAACUAAGUCAGGUUAAAGUGCUCCUUAUAAUUAAGUAUUAAUUUCCAAUGAUACAAUUAACUUGCAAAUUCACAGCUGUUACUUGAACUCUAGCCCAUACGACUCCUC
rnacentral:misc_RNA from 1 species